rnacentral:rRNA from 1 species
CCUACGGGUGGCAGCAGUGGGGGAUAUUGGACAAUGGGGGGAACCCUGAUCCAGCGACGCCGCGUGAGUGAAGAAGUAUUUCGGUAUGUAAAGCUCUGUCGCGAGGGAUGAAGAAUGACGGUACCUCGUAAGAAAGCCCCGGCAAACUACGUGCCAGCAGCCGCGGUAAUACGUAGGGGGCGAGCGUUGUCCGGAAUGACUGGGCGUAAAGGGAGUGUAGGCGGCAUAUUAAGUUAUGUGUGAAAGCCCGCGGCUCAACCGCGGAAUUGCACAUAAAACUGGUAAGCUGGAGUGCAGGAGAGGUAAGUGGAAUUCCCGGUGUAGCGGUGGAAUGCGUAGAUAUCGGGAGGAACACCAGAGGCGAAGGCGACUUACUGGACUGUAACUGACGCUGAGGCUCGAAAGCGUGGGGAGCAAACAGGAUUAGAUACCCCUGUAGUC